rnacentral:lncRNA from 1 species
CGGACACUCUGAAUCAUCAGUAGAGGUGCUUGAGAGGUUGAUGAAGCUCUUUUCGAAGUUUGGUAGGCUCACAACACUCGUAGCUCACUUUCUCACUUCUCGAACCCUAGGCAGAAACCCUAGGGUACACAAGAAAAGCCUGCGCCCACUUCUCUCUUCUUUUCUUUUCUUUUCUUUUCUUUUCUCACGCACAAGAUAUUUCUCAUGCC